rnacentral:rRNA from 1 species
UACGUAGGGGGCUAGCGUUGUCCGGAAUCAUUGGGCGUAAAGAGCGUGUAGGCGGUCCGGUAAGUCCGCUGUGAAAGUCGGGGGCUCAACCCUCGAAUGCCGGUGGAUACUGUCGGGCUAGAGUGCGGAAGAGGCGAGUGGAAUUCCUGGUGUAGCGGUGAAAUGCUUAGAUAUGACAUAGAACACCUAUUGCGAAGGCAGCUUACUACGCAGAUAUUGACGCUCAUGCACGAAAGCGUGGGGAUCAAACAGG